AAAGGUUGAGGUAAUACCACGAGACAGGUGUUUGCAGUGAACCGCGCAAUAACCCCCAUCCUGCCUCCCUCCGCAGGUCCUCAGGAAGCAACCAAGUGGGCAAGGGCCUAAAGAAGUAAGAAAAAGCAAGACUUAGGAUUCGGAUGCCGAUUUCCUCACAAAGGGUUCAUGGUGCAGUGGAAAUCCUCUCUAUUAUCAGGAGAUAGCAGUGUCAACACAGCAGGACCUACCACCACCAAGGUCAACUACAAGGAAGGAGUCUGUGUUCUGAAGCCUACCAAAGAAGUAGCAGAUACAGAGGAAUCUGGAGAAGUCCAGCUGGAGUGCUCUCUCCGUUUUCUUCUUCUGUGACUAGCCAGAGAAAACUCUCUGCUUUUAAAACACUCCUGUGACUAGGUGAACUGUUCUGAGAUAUAAUGACUCACGCAGACUCUCUGAAGCUGUCCUGAAAGAUUGAGCAAUCACCAAUUCUGGUUACAAAUUCUGGCCACUUUGAGAAUGUACUCCUUUGCAUUUGUUCUUCGUCCUGGGCUGCCUCCCUCCCUUUUUCUACCACUGUGUUUCUCUCAGAUGAUGCUUCCCACCAAAGUGACAACAUCAACAACUUUGCCUCAGGCUUUGUUUUCUAGGCUAAGUGGGCUAAGGUAAUGACAUUUUUAAUGCUGCACAAUACUGGGAUUUGAACCCAAACCAACUUCAACUAUAGAUGAACAGAGACCCCAGGUAAAGACAAAGAAGAGAUCAAACCCUAAUGGAAAAAAAAAAAAAAAAAAAAAAAAAAAACCAGUGAUAGGCCUGUCUGAAUUCCUAAACAAGAAAUAAAUAGAGCAAAUCCAGUAGAACAAGUGCUAUAUUCUGUAAUUUUAGCUGUCUGCAUUCAGAGGAAAUUACAGCUACCAGGUCUUCUGCUUUUCAUCUUUUCAUCCCUACACACUGUCUUGCAAAUUAUUGGUGGUCUUGAUUUAUCCUAGAAGAAGAAAUUAUCCAAUGAAGAUAACCAAAAUUUGUCUUUAGGUAUAAUUUACUCUAAGUUCCUUUUAGUGCACUACCUCCAAAAUGGGUACAAAACAUUGGCUACCUCACAAGAGACUCUGUUUACACUAGCUCUGAUUUUAUGAUAAAGACUGCAAUUUAAGGAUCUUGAUCACAAAACACCAAUUACCAUACAAUUUUUGCAUUUGUUUAUUAAUGUUAUUCUCAUUCUACAGAGAUUCUUCAAGAACAUUUAAGUUAAAUAUCUACAUGAGUAAUAACAAUAGAACACUCUCCUGUAAAAUAUCAUCAUCUAUCUCAGAGGUAUAAUUUUUGAGAUUUGUGUAUCUUUGAUUUCUUGCACUGUCUUUAGGAACUUUUGGUUUUUACAUAGAAUGGUGACACUCCAGUAACAAAGAAAAGAUCUCUAACCUAUAUUUUCCAGCUCUACUUAAUGGAUUUAGAUCUAAUUUUCUCUGUUGUGGAAGAUGGGCCACACAUUACGAAAUAAAUCUGCUCUGGCUUCUCUUCGCAAACUGGUGCAUCUUCUCCCAGGAGUACUAUUAAACAGAUGCUACAAUAAUUUCCUUGGACUCUACCAAUCCUCCUAGCUCAUGUCCUUGAAUUCUCACUCCAGCCUCUACAACAUCAUUGUUAUUUCAUUUAUCCUCUUCCAUACACCCUUCUCCUUUUUCCUUCAUUUCAUCAAGGACAAUUCAUUAGCAAAGAUCAUGGCGCUUGUUCACAUAAAGCCACCAUGACCAUUAGAGAAAACUAAAAAUAUUUAAACUAUCCCUUCUGUUACCCUUAACCACAAAUAUCCAGAAUCAAUAAUAAGCCUGAUAUUGAAAUCUUUCUUUUCCUUCAAAUGUGCACAAAUGAAUCACCUGGAAGGUAAAAAAUCUUAAACUGAAUUCAAUUGGAAUUUCCAGCUUAGUGAUGUCUGGGUUCCACAUCAGCUGACCAUCAGAUCUUUAAGGAAGGGCUAGGAGAGCUGGAGGUGGUCUAUUCAUAAAACUAGUUAAAUGAGGUGCCCACAGACAUCACUAGGGUAAAUUUCAUAGCUUCUAUCUGCCAUCGCUAUUGCUGUAAAAUUUUAUGUGGUUGAAAUAGAGAUUAAGGGUGGAUUUGGAGAGGAAAAGAAGUCACUUGUCCAAGUCCAAGAAGCCAGCCAAGAGGUGGGUAUGGACGUAGGAAGUGUCAUCCAACUCUGGGCCUUGAGCAAGAUGCUGGCAGUGAAUACUUCAAUGACUGAAAAUAGGUCUAAAAGUAUGAUGUCCCUUUUAGGCUUGUGAAGCCAUCUUCUCUUUCUCUGCCCAUAGUUUUAUAGCAGAGGGGUCCCCAAGCCAUGAGGCUUGAAUAAGAUCAAUUACCUCAUGAUUGGGACAACAGUGUUUAUAGAGAACCACUUGUCAAUCGAAGUUUUCUUUUUUCUCAUGAAAAUAAUCACUACCACUCAAGACAAUAGAAUCAAAUGGAUUUUGAUUUUCAGAAAAGUACAUGAUUAUUCAGAAAUAGAUUUUAAGAAAGUUAGUCAUCUGGAACAGAAAAAAAUAAACAUUUCUUGGCCCACUUUAAAAAAA